CAUGCUGCAUGGGAAGCUGGCUAUCACUCAAGGCAGUGACCAUGCUCUCCCUAGCUCACUUCCUCAGCCUUCUUCUUUGUAUCUCUGAUUCUAGGGCAGAAACUACUGUGACCCAGUCUCCAGCAUCCUUGUCCAUGGCUGUAGGAGAAAAAGUCAGUAUCAGUUGCAAAACCAGCACAGAUAUUGAUGAUGAUAUGAAUUGGUACCAGCAGAAGUCAGGGGAAGCUCCUAAGCUCCUUAUUUCAGAAGGCAAUACUCUCCGUCCCGGAGUCCCUUCCCGGUUCUCCAGCAGUGGCUAUGGCACAGAUUUUGUUUUUACAAUUAAUAAUGUGCUCUUAGGAGAUGAAGGAAUUUAUUACUGCCAGCAAAGUGAUAACGUGCCUCUCACAGUGCUGUGUCCUCUUACAGAAACCUGCAGAUGCUUUUGUUGA